UGUCUUGCUUUGCGGGUCCAUCUGCCAUGUGAGGCAAAGGUGAUCCGCCUGCCUCAGCCUCCCAAGGUGCUGGGAUUACAGGCGUGAGCCAUCGCGUCCAGCAAGAAAGAUGCAUCAGCUUCUUUUCUGACUUGGGCACUGAGUCUCCAUGCAGAGAAGCUCUCCUGCGGGCAGUGCCCCUCCAAGGAGUAACAGCAUCCUGCAGAUGAGGGGGGGGGACUUAAGGCAGUCCCUGCGGAAGGAUUUUCAGAGCUGCUUGUUAAUAGGCGAUUAAGUGAGGUUGCUAAAUCACGAUGGCGGUGCAUCAGCUGUCACCAAUAGGAUUAGGGUCCUCUUCAUUUAUUCGGUAUCUAAGAGAUCACACUAACAAACAGUGUGAUCAUGGGGCCUUGGGAAGGCCCUCUUACCUCUCUGGGCAUUCGUUUGCUCGUCUGAAAGUGGAUAGAACUUGUUUUCCACCCACCCCCAUCUGCCAUUGCAAUUACCUUGAUUUGUUUUCAGUGUGCAGGCUGGUGGAGCAAACAUUUCAGGAAUACCUACAAACCAGUCUGUCUCUGCCAUUACCAAAUGGUAGCCCCGGAUCUGUCAGUUGGUCUUGCUGGGUCAUGGUUUCUUCAUCUGUGAAAUGCAGAGGGGUGGCUCUUUAGGGUCCUUUCAGCUCUAACAUUCUUUGCGGAAGCCAGUCACCAGGCCUGGGCUGGGAGAGACUGUCGGGAGUGAGGCCUACGGGCCUUCCUGCAUGGGUCUGAAUGAGCGGACCCUGUGGGUAAGCUGGGGGUGAUAGAAGCCAGGGGAGGGCCUGGAAUUGAGGAGCUGGGGCUAGGGAAGAGAGAAUCAAGAUGCCUGGCUAACCUGUCAGGACCUUGCCCAUCUAUCUGGAUGGUCCCCAAAGAGGUUCCUAGGGCCUACCUGGGGAAAGGUCCUACCUGGGAGACCCUCAGAGGAGGCUGGGGUCAGUUAUACCCCUGCUCAGGGAGAUGAGCCUUCUCACUUGGCAGGCUCACCUGGCAAGCUCUCUGCUCUGUGGAGCUUUCCUGCCUCAGGUGGGGAAAUCCCCCAACGGGGCCUUGCCAUAGCUAGCAUUGGGUUAACACUAGGCUCUCUGGGCAAACAGUGUCUUUGCUAUCUCAUGUUUGGAACUCAGCAUGGGGGAAAGGUGGAGUUCACAGGCCACCAGUUGCAUCCAGUCCAGUGCAGUGCAGCCUGCUGUGUUACCUCAGUGCAGGGCAGUCACAGGAAGGAGAUGCAGCCGGGCCUGCAGAUAACGCCCAAACUGUGCUCACUCUGGCCAUCAGGCUCCUUCCCAUGAGGGCCACUGCUUUUUCUUCAAACAAUUGCUGUGGAGCCAGCUCCACUCCAGCUGCUUUGGGAGACCUAGAAAUGUAUUCUUUCUUUCAUGGAGGAAUGAGGAGUGGAGAGGUCUUGCGGGAUCCUGGCAGAUAAUGUAGCCAGUUUCAGUCCUUGCUACUCACUUCUGGCAAGCCCUGUCUCCCCUGUGAUUCAGUUUCUCCACCUUUAAAAUAAGGAAGAGAGUCCUUUUGACCACCGUCUCCCCCUGGCGCAUGAGGACUUACAGGGAUGUGUGAGGUCUUGUCUAUCACAGAGCUGUGGGUCUUUAGGAAGGCCCUCAGAAAACACCAGCUGCUCUUGUUGGUUAUGGGGGUCUAAGGUUCAAGAACAGCCCCGUGGUGUUAUUUAUUACUCAUGAAGUCCUGGCCACCAUGCUGAUCCCAGGCGGGACGCGGUUAGCCAGGCCCAGACUGAGCAGGAAGCCAAGUGAACUUCCUUUUCUUCUUCUUUUUUAGUACAAUCUCAGAAACCUGGUGCUCUCAGCCCUCAGAGUCAGCUGAUGCCCCUUGCCCAGGAGCCAGGGUAGAGGUGGGGGUGUCAGUUUCUGCAUGUGGGCCCCUGAGUAUUCUCAGGAAAUGAUGCAUGCUGUCACCAGCUGUACAGGCCAUUACUCGUUGAAAAAAAUGUGACUGUGGGGCCAUUAGCCCCGAGAGUUCAGCACCCUCUGCAGUGGGCAGGUAAGAGCUAGUGUCUCCUAUCAGCUGGAGACGAGAGCCUUAAACUCAGAGUCUGAAGGCAGGUUGCGUUUCUGCUGCGCACCAGCCACAUAAUGCUCAGGAGGAAUGAAAGCUCUCUGUGCCUUUGUUUCCCCGUCUGUAAAACCAGCACUAAAAGAACAGUCCAUGCUUUGUAGGGUUGUUGCAUGAGCAAAACAUAAUCUACAAUGUUAAUGGAUGGUCCUAAUAGAACAUUUGGUGCGUAGAAAUGCUCAAUAAGUGAAAUAGAAGGGAGGGAAGCAAGGAUGCGAGUUUAAGAUAUGUGAACAGAGAACAUCCCAAUGAGCUGUCCUAAUCUUGGAAUAUGUGAACUGAAAAUAGUGUGGGAUGCAGGUCCCCCAAGCACAGACUCAGUGGCAUGGCUGAUGACAUCAUUCCAGAGCUGUCCAGCCUAGGCAACAGCAUUCUUUGGAUGAACUUAUUUGGAUUAAGGGAAUAGAAGUUGCAGAGAAGAAGCAGGUUCCCAGAAGGAUCCACCCUUCUUCCACUGAAGCCCACAAAUAGGUCAGCUCCUUAACGCCCACAGCUCAAAGGCCUUGCCAGAUAGGUGUGAGGAGAGAGCGGGUUCUGUGGUCAGAGCCCAAGGCUGGGCAUGGAGACUUCUAUUUUCCUGAAGCUGGCUAUUACGUCACCUGGAACAAAUUUCCUAACCACUCAUCCCCAGGUAAAGAAGGGGAAGGCCGCAGACAAUGGGCUUGUGGCCUUCUGCUUCUGAGCCCUCUGAUCUUCAUGUGCCAUUUGACCUCUCAGCUGUAGUUACUACCCCUCUGGGAGAUGGGGGUUAAACUCUCCCGGAGGAGCGUUGUGAGAAUGGAAUGAUUCCAAGGCUGAGGUCCCCACCUGUAUCCGCAAGGCCAGGUGAAUAAAGGGGGUGCUGUGAGGAGCGGCCUACACCUCUGUCAGGGGCAGGGACUGGUCACCACCUGGAGUGGGCAGGAGGAGAUUCUAGGAUCUUCUCUAGCCCAGACACUGCCCUGGGGAGCUUAGGUAAAGUGAACCACCCUAGGGGUAGGGGAAUGGAGAAGGCUCACUAGGCUCCAGGUUAAACUUUUUGGUGCCACCUUAAGAGAAAUCUGUUUAGAGCCUUAGCCUGUCAGUAAAUCAGGCAAAUCCUAACCCCCUUCCUAACAGAAGGAACAAAUGAGAAUUAAUUAGUAAACAUGGCUGUCAAACUUGGUCGGUGUUAUUAUUAACUUAAUGUGUUUGUUUAAAAGGGGGAGCCUGGCUUGCUCCAGUCUACGGGCGGGCAUGUGAGCUGCCAGCCUGCCGGCCAGGUCUGAUGGGAAAUCCUGUAGAUUGUUUCCACAUGGCAGUUUACAACACAAAUCAUUAGUUACAGUGGUGGAAGGCCUUGGAGGCGAGGGAUGAUGGAUUCUGAUGAUGGAUUUUGCAGUCUUCACAUAAAAUGCGGAGGGGUUCUCUAAGGGAGGAGUUUUUGUACUAGGGAGAAGGCACCCCAGGGCCUUAGGCACUGCAGUCUGAAUGAAGCCAGCAGGCAGGGUGACCAAGGGGGUCUCCCCUGUUGUCCCAGAUGGUUGGGGAGACGUGGGGAGUGUGGUACAUAGGCCACGCAUGUAUACAUGUAUUCCUGGAGCCCGGGGCUUUCUCACAGGCAGAUCUACCAUGCUGCUGCAGAAGAUACCAGAUGCUCAGC